UACGGAGGGGGCAAGCGUUGUUCGGAAUUACUGGGCGUAAAGGGCGCGUAGGCGGCCUGUUAAGUCGAACGUGAAAUCCCUCGGCUUAACCGGGGAACUGCGUCCGAUACUGGUUGGCUUGAGUUUGGGAGAGGGAUGCGGAAUUCCAGGUGUAGCGGUGAAAUGCGUAGAUAUCUGGAGGAACACCGAUGGCGAAGGCAGGUCUCUGGGCCAUAACUGACGCUGAGAAGCGAAAGCAUGGGGAGCGAACAGG
rnacentral:rRNA from 1 species